rnacentral:rRNA from 1 species
CGUAGGGUGCGAGCGUUAAUCGGAAUUACUGGGCGUAAAGCGUGCGCAGGCGGUUUAGUAAGACAGGCGUGAAAUCCCCGGGCUCAACCUGGGAACUGCGCUUGUGACUGCUAAGCUAGAGUACGGCAGAGGGGGGUGGAAUUCCACGUGUAGCAGUGAAAUGCGUAGAGAUGUGGAGGAACACCAAUGGCGGAGGCAGCCCCCUGGGUCGAUACUGACGCUCAUGCACGAAAGCGUGGGUAGCAAACAGGAUUAGAUACCCUGGUGGUCCACGCCCUAAACGAUGUCAACUAGGUGUUGGGAGGGUAAAACCUUUUAGUACCGGAGCUAACGCGUGAAGUUGACCGCCUGGGGAGUACGGCCGCAAGGUUA